rnacentral:sRNA from 1 species
UUUUUGCGUGAGAGGUAGUAGCGGCAUCCUUUUGUGACAAAGAGACGCCUUUUUAAGCAAAAGUGCUAUGAACAAAAGAUAUAGCGAAUAACCCGACCCUGU